rnacentral:lncRNA from 1 species
GGGAAAACCCCUCGCAAUAAGAAACAUUAUUGCACAUGACUGGACUGGAGAGGGAGAUAAAUAAUUCAGCUGCCACACUAAAUACUGGAGAGGAGCUGACGGGGAGGAAGAUAUCGUGAAACCUGGGCUGGGAAAACAAGCCUUUCUUAAGAAGCCAGCAAACCGUAGUACAGUUUUACUUAUUGCUCUUAAAAUUCAGAGAGCACAGCUCGGCAUGACAUCCUGUCACUGAACCUGACCUCCUCUGUGUGUGUACAGCAUCAGGAUGGCUCCCUGGUGAUACUAUGUCCUCCCCGGUUCAUCCUGGCCACAUGUGUUCUCUGUCAAUACUGCUGCAGCACCAGCUAUCACAUUCAGCUUCAGAGACCCCCAUAUCUCCAAGGUUUUGUCUGUUGUGCCACCCCCCAUCUGGAUCUGCAUAAAAUAGCUUGUAUUCAAUUCUUAAACGUAUGUUAUCCAUAUUAUUACUGAAAGAUACCUUGUUAUUCAUCACAUGUUUGUCCAACCUAACUGGAAUGUCUUGACUUCUUGACUGGCUAAUUUGGAGGCAUGUGCAGGAGCAAGGGGAAGAGGUU